UACGGAAGGGGGCUGGCGUUGCCUCGGAAUCACUGGGGCGUUAAAAGGGGUGCGUAGGGCGGGGUCUUUUUAAGUCAGGGGGUGAAAUCCUGGAGCUCAACUCCAGAACUGCCUUUGAUACUGAAGAUCUUGAGUUCGGGGAGAGGUGAGUGGAACUGCGAGUGUAGAGGUGAAAUUCGUAGAUAUUCGCAAGAACACCAGUGGCGAAGGCGGCUCACUGGCCCGAUACUGACGCUGAGG
rnacentral:rRNA from 1 species